ensembl:lncRNA
GCUUCUUGAUCCUGGGAGAGGAGACUACAAUGCCGGCUGUUCUGACUCACAGUCUGACGUUGGAGAUAGUAUGUGGCCAAGCAGUCAUCAGUUUCAGCAGCUCCUCUUGAUUGCCUGAGUCCCAGACUGGAGUGUCUUGUUGUUGAGCGGGAGUGAGUGGAAAAUAUCUGCAACAGCCUUCUCCAGCUUCUCCAGACUUUUCUGGAAGUAUUCUCCUAACUCUGCCAAGCUAGCAUCCACUGCCUGCUGGACACUGGCCUUCCGAUUUAAGGUGCUUUCAACUGAUUGUUUAAAAUCAUGUUCCCCAGCCUGCACCUUUGUGCUAAGGGCCAGUAAAUCCACUUUUAAUUUAUCAAUGCUUGCUUGCAUUUCUUGGAUAACAUUAGCAUUGACCAAACAGUUAGUCGCUUCAACAUCAUCACCAUCAUCAUCAAUUUUAUCCUCAGUGUCAGAAAUAUAAAGGGAGCUUAACACAGAUUCUGCCAUAGAAUUGUCAUGUUACAAAUGCGCCUCCAAAGUGCACACACACAGCAGUGAACACACACAGACCAUGAACACACACCCGGAGCAGUGGGUAUCAUUUAUGCUGCGGCGCCCGGGGAGCAGUUGGGGGUUUGGUGCCUUGCUCAAGGGCACCUCAGUCGUGGUAUUGCCGGCCUGAGACUCGAACCCACAACCUUAGGGUUAGAAGUCAAACUCUCUAACUACUAAGCCACGACUUCCCCAUCCUUUAACAU